rnacentral:ncRNA from 1 species
CAAAGGCAUGGUCCCGACCUUACCGUCAGCUCUAGCCCAACUUACACAUGCAAGUCUCCGCAGCCCCGUGAGUAAGCCCUUAAUCCCCUGCCCGGGGACGAGGAGCAGGCAUCAGGCACAAACCCUUAGCCCAAGACGCCGGGCCUAGCCACACCCCCAAGGGAAUUCAGCAGUGAUAAAUAUUAAGCCAUGAGUGAAAACUUGACUUAGUCAAAGCUAAGAGGGCCGGUAAAACUCGUGCCAGCCACCGCGGUUAAACGAGAGGCCCUAGUUGAUGGGACAACGGCGUAAAGGGUGGUUAAGGAUAGUGAAAUAAUAAAGUCGAAUGGCCCUUUGGCUGUCAUACGCUUCUGGGAGUCUGAAGCCCAAUAUACGAAAGUAGCUUUAAUAACGUCCACCUGACCCCACGAGAACUGAGAAACAAACUGGGAUUAGAUACCCCACUAUGCUCAGUCAUAAACCCAGACGUCUAGCUACAAUAGGCGUCCGCCCGGGUACUACGAGCAUUGGCUUGAAACCCAAAGGACCUGACGGUGCCUCAGACCCCCCUAGAGGAGCCUGUUCUAGAACCGAUAACCCCCGUUAAACCUCACCGCUUCUAGCCAUCCCAGCCUAUAUACCGCCGUCGUCAGCUUACCCUGUGAAGGCAAUAAUAGUAAGCAAAAUGGGCACAACCCAGAACGUCAGGUCGAGGUGUAGCGUACGGAGCGGGAAGAAAUGGGCUACAUUUUCUAUAGUAGAAUACUACGGAUGUGCAACAUGAAAUAGUGCUUGAAGGAGGAUUUAGUAGUAAAGAGGAAGCAACGUGUCCUCUUGAACCCGGCUCUGAGGCGCGUACACACCGCCCGUCACUCUCCCCUGUCGAAAUGCAAUCAGGUUACCUAACACCACAGCUCUGACAAGGGGAGGCAAGUCGUAACAUGGUAAGUGUACCGGAAGGUGCACUUGGAUAAAAUU